ACACCGGCAGCUCAAGUGGUAGCCGCUUUUAUUGGGCCUAAAGCGUCCGUAGCCGGUCUGAUAAGUCUCUGGUGAAAUCCCACAGCUUAACUGUGGGAAUUGCUGGAGAUACUAUCAUGACUCGAGGUCGGGAGAGGCUGGAGGUACUCCCAGGGUAGGGGUGAAAUCCUGUAAUCCUGGGAGGACCACCUCUGGCGAAGGCGUCCAGCUGGAACGAACCUGACGGUGAGGGACGAAAGCCAGGGGCGCGAACCGGAUUAGAUACCCGGGUAGUCCUGGCCGUAAACGAUGUGGACUUGGUGUUGGGAUGGCUUCGAGCUGCCCCAGUGCCGAAGGGAAGCUGUUAAGUCCACCGCCUGGGAAGUACGGCCGCAAGGCUGAAACUUAAAUGAAUUGGCGGGG
rnacentral:rRNA from 1 species